rnacentral:rRNA from 1 species
GAUGAACGCUGGCGGCGUGCCUAAUACAUGCAAGUCGAGCGAACGGACGAGAAGCUUGCUUCUCUGAUGUUAGCGGCGGACGGGUGAGUAACACGUGUAUAACCUACCUAUAAUACUGGUAUAACUUCGGGAAACCGGAGCUAAUACCGGAUAAUAUUUUGAACCGCAUGGUUCAAAAGUGAAAGACGGUCUUUCUGUCACUUAUAGAUGGAUCCGCGCUUCAUUGGCUAGUUGGUAAGGUAACGGCUUACCAAGGCAACGAUGCAUAGCCGACCUGAGAGGGUGAUAGCCAGCCCUGGAAGUGAGACACGGUCAAGACUCCUACGGGAGGAAGCAGUAGGGAAUGGUCCGCAAUGGGCGAAAGCAUGACGGAGCAACGCCGAGUGAGUGAUGAAGGUCUUCGGAUCGUAAAAAUCUGUUAUUAGGGAAGAACCUAUGUGUAAGUAAAUGUGCAGAUAUUGACGGUAACUAAUAAGAAAGCCACGGCUAACUACGUG